UACGUAGGGUGCGAGCGUUGUCCGGAAUUACUGGGCGUAAAGAGCUCGUAGGCGGUGUGUCGCGUCGGCCGUGAAAACCUGCAGCUUAACUGUGGGCUUGCGGUCGAUACGGGCAUCACUGGAGUUCGGCAGGGGAGACUGGAAUUCCUGGUGUAGCGGUGAAAUGCGCAGAUAUCAGGAGGAACACCGGUGGCGAAGGCGGCGAUCUGGGUCGAUACUGACGCUGAGGUGCGAAAGCGUGGGGAGCAAACAGG
rnacentral:rRNA from 1 species